UUGAAAAUGAUUUUAUCAUAACGUCGAUCUUGCCGGAUUUAUUCCAACGUAAACAAAACAAAAUAAGGUUGAAAACACGCAUGUAAUAAUUUGUGUCGCAGUACUUGUUAGAUAUUGGAAGUGAUUAAUUUUGCUAUAGUGCUCAAAUCUUUAGUGCCGAGUAAUAUUUACUGUGAAAUAUGAAAAAGAAGUAAAAUUAAGUGCGCCCCUCUGAAAGUGGUAUAUUUUUAGUUAUUUAGCAUUUGCUAAAACAAACCGCCAGGUAAAGAAGAAAGCAUAUUUGGUCGGCGUUAAGUCAUAGUGGACCAAAUACAAAACUUGCGACAUUUGUAUUAUUCUUUCAUUAGAUGCGAAAUUACCUUACCUCCAUAUCACUUUGUUCAGAUUUGAUAAAUGUUCUAAACUGCGAGAGAUAUGUAAGAAAUUUACUGUGGGUGAUCAAUAAAAAUCCAUAAAAGUAUGCAGUCAGAGUGCACCAAGUGCUUAUUACCAUAACAGCGACAAUUAUCAGCGCGCUGAUAAAUGCGAAGAAAUGAAAAACAUUUCAAGUGAUUUGUGAGAUUUUUUCACAUCCAAUUAUUCAUCUUCUCAUCCAUUAAUAGAAAUUCAUAAAUAUUACUUAUUUCGAUGCAUUUGAUUUUGAUUUUUGACCAUUUACUACAUUUGGAUGGGUGGUCAGAUAUUUCGAUUUCAGAGUCCGAUAGAAGCUGUUGGUAGUUUUAUGAGGUCUGAAUGGAAUGUCUUAGAACCCGCGCAUUGGACCUGUAUAUUUUGGCCGGCACUCAAAAUUUUCACUUGGUGCGCUCUGACUGAACGCAUAUUUGAAUAUGUCUGUUCUUCAAGGCCCUGACCAAGGUAUAUUGAAGAAAGGUACAGCAAUCUAAGCAGUCAGUGGAUGCGGGGAGUGGUAAACAGUGAAGGGUGGGAAAUGACAGCUGGUGAGUCGGCAAGCUGGCUGAUUCGUUAAUGUGAUUUUCCCCUCUAGUGGUUGCUAUCGUUUCCAUAGGAUUGUUUUUAUUGAUCGUAGUAGUGCUUUGACAAUGAGAAGCAAAUCUCAAAGCAUUUGCAAACUAACAAUAAACUCCAUAAAGUAGAUAGACUCAGUUUAGAGUUGCUUCCUUCCAGAGGACCGGCUAGGACAACUGCAUUAAAUGGAGGCUGUUACUCGUAGGCAAUGGGCUACGAUAGAAAGAGGGAGUCCGCCGAAAUUUCGCAGCGGUAUGUCAGACCAUCGGCUGAUGAACGGAAUCCCAUGGAUGAGGAGAGCUAUGAAAUUAUUUACACUACCUUCUGCUGACCAUUAUUUUUAUUU